AUUAUUACAACUCGAAAUAAAAAAGGUACUAAAAAGUAAACCUACGCUAACCUACACCAAACUACGCUCCAAUGCCUUACCCAAUACUUUGGGCCUUCAUUACGGGUAUCCUCCGAGUACAUGAUACGUCGGAGCAUUCUCCGGUGAAUAAAUACAAUUCCUUCGGGGCAUUCCUCGGCAAAUGAAUACAAUGUCAAUUUCAUGCCAUAAACCAGAAAAACAUCCAACAAAUAUUUCAAACAUUCCAACAAUUUCACCAAUUCUUAAUUUGCCUACCCGAGCCUACUGUUUGCCUACCUGCUCGACGACAUAUAACGUUCAACAUCAACAAUGAAUCAAAAUACCAUAAUAUUCACUUUUAUCAAUUUUUGAUUCCCGACCCAAAUCCAUUCUAAACAUUAAUAAAGUGUCAUUUCAACACGUAGUCCAUUAUCACAAAAUGAAUCACAGAAUUAUAACAACAAUAAUGAAUAUCAUGUUCCGAAUAGAAUAAAUGAUGAAAUAAAAAUACGAAGGAAGUAGAAUUGAACCUCAAUUUGACAAUUUUAUUUCGAACAACCAAGAUGGAUCGGAACUCACAAAGCCAUGGAACCUCAACAAAUCCACCUUCACGGUCAACUCGUCAAGUCUCAGCCUCCUCGGACUGUUUGAAGACAACAAGGGAACAACACAAUUUUUUUUCUUUGUUUUGAUCGAUUUUAGACGAUGAUUCGAUCGGAGUGGCAAACUCCGAUAGGCUUGAAACAGUGACGGGAAAAUAGGGUUUUGACAGAUUGUUAAAAUUUUCAGUGAAAUUGGAUGGAAACAGACUGAAUCUUGAUGAAUUUCGGACGGUUGAUGAUGUUCUCCGGCGAGAAUCGGCCGGAACAAUAACAACAAUGACUAGUGGUGUUCUCCGAUUGGCGAUUCCGAUGAGAAUUCGCUGGAAUAACUGUUCCUCUUUGAUUUUUCUCUUCUUUUUUAGCUCCUACAUUUUACUCCCUCUCUCGCACGCUUUUUCUCUCCUCUCUUAUGCUCAAAUCUCUCUCUAUAGGCUUUUCUCUCCGUUCAUGAUGGGUCUUUGUAUUUUUUUUGUGAAUUAGUGUAUUUUGUGUGUUUUAUGGAAGAAUCCCAUGUGGUCUGUGUGUGUAUGGAGUUUUUGUUGCGCCUCUGUAAAGAAGAAAGAUCUCCAAAAUGGAAAAAAAGAAAAAAAAAAUUGUGCAUGAGAAUGUCCCCCUUUUUCUUGUGUGAUGGAAAAUAUAUAUUGUUCAAGAAAAGAAAAUAAAAGUGGUCC
rnacentral:lncRNA from 1 species